rnacentral:rRNA from 1 species
UACGUAGGGGGCAAGCGUUGUCCGGAAUCAUUGGGCGUAAAGAGCGUGUAGGCGGCCCGGUAAGUCCGCUGUGAAAGUCGAGGGCUCAACCCUCGAAUGCCGGCGGAUACUGUCGGGCUAGAGUCCGGAAGAGGCGAGUGGAAUUCCUGGUGUAGCGGUGAAAUGCGCAGAUAUCAGGAGGAACACCGAUAGCGAAGGCAGCUCGCUGGGACGGUACUGACGCUAAGGCGCGAAAGCGUGGGGAGCAAACAGG